GCUCUUUGACAUAUUGUGUAAGACGCUAUUAAAUGAUGCUUGAAUAAUAAUAAAGUGAUUAACCAAUAGCUUGUAGCCCUAGACUCAUUGUGCUAGGGGCUUGGGGCUGACUUACAUUGAAGUCGGCACAUCGUGGAGCGACACCACCUGCAAGCAC
rnacentral:sRNA from 1 species